GAAAAGUUUUAUUUUGGCUUAAAGGAUUAGUUUUUGAGUAAUUUUAUAUGUAAGUUUUUAUGGGAUUUUAUGUUAUUUUUAAAUAAGAGACAUAUUAUUAUAUUCGCAGUGAUAAAUAUUAAAGAUAAAUUAAUGUUUGAUUUAGUGACUUAAAAGAGUAUUAACAAAAUUUGUGCCAGCAGUUGCGGUUAUACUUAUAAUGCUAUUAAUUUGAAUUCGGUUAAUAAUUAAUUUGAUUUUUAAUUUAUUUUCUUAGAUUUAUUAAGUGAAAUUUUUAAGUUUGAAAAAAAAAUGAUUUUAGUUAAUGAAGUUAUAAAAUUUAGAAUUAGACUAGGAUUAGAUACCCUAUUAUUAUAAAUGUAAAUUUAAAUUCCAAAUUAUUAAUAGUUAUGAUCUUUAAAAUUAAAAAAUUUGGCGGUAUUUUAGUCUAUUUAGAGGAACCUGUUCUGUAAUUGAUAGUCCACGAGUUUUUUUACUUAAUUUUAGUUUAUAUAUCGUCGUAGUUUGAAUAUUUUAGAAGAAUAUUAAUAUUCAAGAUUCUUUAUUAAGAAAUAAAUCAGAUCAAGAUGUAGCUUAUAAUUAAGAAGAAAUGGGUUACAAUAAAUUUAUUUAAAUGGAUUAGUAUUUUAUAAAUAUUAUGAAAGUGGAUUUAAGAGUAAUAAAAUUUAAAUUAAUUUUAUGAUUUGAGCUCUAAAAUAUGCACAUAUCGCCCGUCGCUCUCGUAUAAAAUGAGAUAAGUCGUAACAUAGUAGAUGUACUGGAAAGUGUAUCUAGAUAG
rnacentral:ncRNA from 1 species